rnacentral:rRNA from 1 species
CCUACGGGAGGCAGCAGUGAGGAAUAUUGGUCAAUGGACGAGAGUCUGAACCAGCCAAGUAGCGUGAAGGAUGACUGCCCUAUGGGUUGUAAACUUCUUUUAUGUGGGGAUAAAAUGUGACACGUGUGGCAUUUUGCAUGUACCAUAUGAAUAAGGAACGGCUAAUUCCGUGCCAGCAGCCGCGGUAAUACGGAGGGUCCGAGCGUUAUCCGGAUUUAUUGGGUUUAAAGGGAGCGUAGGGGGAUUGUUAAGUCAGUUGUGAAAGUUUGGAGCUCAACCGUGGAACUGCAGUUGAAACUGGCAGGCUUGAGUACAGUAGAGGUGGGCGGAAUUCGUGGUGUAGCGGUGAAAUGCUUAGAUAUCACGAAGAACUCCGAUUGCGAAGGCAGCUCACUGGACUGCAACUGACGCUGAGGCUCGAAAGUGUGGGUAUCAAACAGGAUUAGAUACCCGGGUAGUC